rnacentral:rRNA from 1 species
UUACACAAAUAUGAAGCCGGACUGGGAUAGGGCCUCGCUGCCUUGCCCGUCUGGCGCCAUAUUCACCCAUGUCUUUUUGCGUACUACUUGUUUCCUUGGCGGGUCCGCCCGCCAAUUGGACCUUAUUCAAACCUUUUUUUUCAGUUGCAAUCAGCGUCAGCAAAACAAAUGUAAUCAAUUACAACUUUCAACAACGGAUCUCUUGGUUCUGGCAUCGAUGAAGAACGCAGCGAAAUGCGAUAAGUAGUGUGAAUUGCAGAAUUCAGUGAAUCAUCGAAUCUUUGAACGCACAUUGCGCCCUUUGGUAUUCCAAAGGGCAUGCCUGUUCGAGCGUCAUUUGUACCCUCAAGCUUUGCUUGGUGUUGGGCGUCUUGUCUCUCUCCCGAGACUCGCCUUAAAAUCAUUGGCAGCCGGCCUACUGGUUUCGGAGCGCAGCACAUUAUUUGCGCUCUUGUCCAGCCGCGGUCGCGCGUCCAUGAAGCUUCUUUCAACCUUUUGACCUCGGAUCAGGUAGGGAUACCCGCUGAACUUAAGCAUAUCAAUAAGCGGAGGAAAAGAAACCAACAGGGAUUGCCCUAGUAACGGCGAGUGAAGCGGCAACAGCUCAAAUUUGAAAUCUGGCUCUUUUAGAGUCCGAGUUGUAAUUUGCAGAGGGCGCUUUGGCUUUGGCAGCGGUCCAAGUUCCUUGGAACAGACGUC